GGCUCAGAUUGAACGCUGGCGGCAGGCCUAACACAUGCAAGUCGAGCGGGGUUUCGGACCUAGCGGCGGACGGGUGAGUAAUGCGUAGGAAGCUACCCGAUAGAGGGGGAUACCAGUUGGAAACGACUGUUAAUACCGCAUAAUGUCUACGGACCAAAGUGUGGGACCUUCGGGCCACAUGCUAUCGGAUGCGCCUACGUGGGAUUAGCUAGUUGGUGAGGUAAUGGCUCACCAAGGCGACGAUCUCUAGCUGGUUUGAGAGGAUGAUCAGCCACACUGGAACUGAGACACGGUCCAGACUCCUACGGGAGGCAGCAGUGGGGAAUAUUGGACAAUGGGCGCAAGCCUGAUCCAGCCAUGCCGCGUGUGUGAAGAAGGCCUUCGGGUUGUAAAGCACUUUCAGCGAGGAGGAAGAGUUGUGUGUUAAUAGUACACAGCUUUGACGUUACUCGCAGAAGAAGCACCGGCUAACUCUGUG
rnacentral:rRNA from 1 species